rnacentral:rRNA from 1 species
AUUGAACGCUGGCGGCAGGCCUAACACAUGCAAGUCGAGCGGAGCGGCGGACGGGUGAGUAAUGCCUAGGAAUCUGCCUGGUAGUGGGGGAUAACGUCCGGGAACGGGCUCUAAUACCGCAUACUAGCAGAUGAGCCUAGGUCGAAUGAGCUAGUUGGUGGGGUAAAGGCCUACCAAGGCGACGAUCCGUAACUGGUCUGAGAGGAUGAACAGUCACACGGGAACUGAGACACGGUCCAGACUCCUACGGGAGGCAGCAGUGGGGAAUAUUGGACAAGGGGCGAAAGCCUGAUCCAGCCAUGCGGCGUGUGUGAAGAAGGUCUUCGGAUUGUAAAGCACGUUAAGUUGGGAGGCGUUACCAACAGAAUAAGCACCGGCUAACUUCGUGCCAGCCGCCGCGGUAAUUC